CCCGUACUGAAAUACUAGACAUGUCCUCCAGCCCCGUACUGAAAUACUAGACAUGUCCUCCUACCCCGUAUUGAAAUACUAGACAUGUCCUCCUGCCCCGUACUGAAAUACUAGACAUGUCCCCCUGCCCUGUACUGAAAUACUAAACAUGUCCUCCUGCCCCGUACUGAAAUACUAGACAUGUCCUCCUGCCCCGUUCUGAAGUACUAGACAUGUCCUCCAGCCCCGUACUGAA